rnacentral:rRNA from 1 species
GAUGAACGCUGGCGGCGUGCUUAACACAUGCAAGUCGAACGGAAAGGCCCAAGCUUGCUUGGGUACUCGAGUGGCGCACGGGUGAGUAACACGUGGGUGAUCUGCCCUGCACUUCGGGAUAAGCCUGGGAAACUGGGUCUAAUACCGGAUAGGACGAUGGUUUGGAUGCCAUUGUGGAAAGUUUUUUCGGUGUGGGAUGAGCUCGCGGCCUAUCAGCUUGUUGGUGGGGUAAUGGCCUACCAAGGCGUCGACGGGUAGCCGGCCUGAGAGGGUGUACGGCCACAUUGGGACUGAGAUACGGCCCAGACUCCUACGGGAGGCAGCAGUGGGGAAUAUUGCACAAUGGGCGCAAGCCUGAUGCAUCGACGCCGCGUGGGGGAUGACGGCCUUCGGGUUGUAAACUCCUUUCGCUAGGGACGAAGCUUAUUUUGUGACGGUACCUGGAGAAGAAGCACCGGCUAACUACGUGCCAGCCGCCGCCGUAA